CACAGACAAAUAAACACACAUAGAGCUUCACGACCAGCUCAGAGAAAAUAUCAUCCUCUUUUUCCCACCCAUUUUGCUGGGUUUAUAUUCUGAUGACGUUCUCGUCUAGCAGUCAUUGCCGAUUAAAGGGACCUAAGGUGCUAGGAUGCAUUUUAUAGAGCAUCUUGUAAAAAUUCAACUCUUCUAUGUUGCAGCAGUGGUUGUUUGAUGUACGAGGUGGCCACCGAGGAGCAGAAAUCUCUUCUUUUUUCAGGUGAGGAUAACAAGAGUUUUUACGUCCAUGUUAUUUUAGAUGGUCUGUCUGCCUGUCUGUAUUACAUAUGCAGUCGGAAAAACAAAAUGUUCUGUGCAGAACGAGGCACUUAUAUAUAGAAUAAUACGUAAUUAUGUAAGCAGCAACAGUCACUCUCUGACUCCAUACACAAACAUGCUCAAUAUAAAAUAAACUGAGAGGCUAGAACUAUCACCGGUAUAUAUAGUGGAGCACUAUAGAAACACUUACUCUUAUAUAAUAAGGGAUAUAUAUGGCAGUAAAACUAGAUAAAGGAAAAAUUAAUAUAGUGUAGUAUUUUAGUUAGUUAUAGGCAUAGGAAUGGUUUAGGAAUAUAUAUAUACAACAUACUCACAUGGAGCAGAGACAAUCAAAGGGGCACUAUAGUCACCAGAACAACUACAGCUUAAUGUAGUUGUUCUGAUGUGUGUAUAGUAUGUCCCUGUAGGCAUUGUCAUUUAAACACUGCCUUUUCAGUUUUGCCAUGCAUUCGCAAUAGCCUCCCAAUGCUUUCAUAUGGGAAAGCAUUGGAUUGGCUGAGAUAGUUAAUUUCGAUGUUCUCAGCAAUGGAGGUAGGGAGUGGGUGGAGCCCGUGCUGGCGGGCUUGCACUGUGCUGAAAAAAAAAGGUAUGUUUUAACCCUAUUUAAGGAGCUCGGCAGCUAAAAUGUGUUUUUAACACUAUAGGGUCAGGAGAACACAUUUGUAUUCCCGAGCCUAUAGUGUUACUAAGGACAGGCUCAUGUCUCAUAGGCAUGUGUGUACAUUAAAUGUGCGUCUGUUCAGGUGCUUGCUCUGCAAUUCAAGAUCUGACGAAGCUAUACAAAUUUAUAUGGUGGCUUAAGUUUGCUUCUGCAAGUAGCGUCAUUAAUGGUUUCUAUGAAUGAAGCUACUUGUUGCUGUGCCAUUGUUAUUUUACAGCGGCCAUUAAAACCACACUAUGUAUCAUUUAUAUCUAUGAUACUUAGUAAUAUAGAGAAACAGAGAAUGUGACUGUAGAUAAGAGGCCAUCUAGUCUGCCCAAUUUUCUAAAUACUUUCAUUAGUCCCUGGCCUUAUCUUAUAGUUAGGAUAGCCUUAUACCUAUCCCAUGCAUGCUUAAACUCCUUUACUGUGUUAACCUCUACCACUUCAACUGGAAGGCUAUUCCAUGCAUCCACUACUCUCUCAGUAAAGUAAUACUUCCUGAUAUUAUUUUUAAACCUUUGCCCCUCUAAUUUAAGACUAUGUCCUCUUGUUGUGGUAGUUUUUCUUUUUAAAUAUAGUCUCCUACUUUACUGUGUUGAUUCCCUUUAUGUAUUGAAAUGUUUCUAUCAUAUCCCCUGUCUCGUCUUUCCUCCAAGCUAUACAUGUUACAGAGGAUAUAUGGCACUCCAAACAAGUGCAUUUCAUUGUUACCAAUCUUUAUAUUGUGUUUUGUUUUUUUAUGUAUUAAUUUUUUUAAUAUGUUAUGUCCAUGAUGUAUAUAAAAAGUUUCCCUUUAAAAUAUAGCUUAGUAAUGUUCGUCCAAGAUGAACAUGAAAAUAAAAUGUAUUGCAUUGUAGGUAAGUCCAGUGCAGCAAAAAACUGUCAACUUUUUAUGAUGCUAUUAAAAAGUGAAGCCAAGCAGUUUCCCGCGCAUUGAAGACAUGGUGUCAGUAAAUCUCCAAAAAGAUGAUUCAUCCUCAGUGAAGUGAAUAUACCCAGUCAGCAUAGAGACCAUAAACCUCUGAUUCAGGUCUAUAGAGUCUGAUCUGUUAGACAUACUUAACGCAGUUCUGCACCGGUUAAAGUGUAGAGGAGAGAGGUUAUUUAGCAGAACUCAAAGUUGUCAGUGCACAAUCUCAGUUCUGCUUAGAGACGGUGUUUUGGGGACAAAAGAACCUCAGAAACCUAUGAUUCCCUUUGACAAUUCUGUGUUACUGGACACUGCAGGUUAGGAGGGAGGGAUGCAGAUGGACACAUGUGUGCAAGGUCCAUCAAGAAACAGUAUUUUAGAAGGAUUGCUGACAACGUGGUUAGCAAGCUGAAUGCCGCAAAACAUUAUAUUUUGGAAAGCCUACACAAAAUUUGGUGUGCAAAAAUUACAGCUAAUUAAAAAAAAAAAAACUAUAAAAUGCAAAACAUUGGGUUGGUGCUUGGGAGGGUCUUAAAUACACACAUAUAUAUAUAUAUAUAUAUAUAUUUUACUUUCAGAAAUAAGAAAUGAAUGUGGAGCAUUGUUAGUGUGAUAUUAUAAAAUUGUACAGUUCCUUAACCUUUUAAUAUUAUAAAGUGCCUUACUGCUGAGAUUUCUUUCUUUUUUUAUUAUAUGCUGUACAUUUGCAUUUCAUAGUCAAAUGAUUGCACAAAGAGUAUUAUUAUGUUUCAUUUGGAGCGAAGGUCACAGCACACAGAGGGAGUACUCCGUGUCACACAUUGUAUUCCUCGCCUUUGGAAUUCAGCCUAAAUGACCACAACUCACAGCUUUUGUGAUCCAGGUUUAUUAGGCCUGAUUUUAAAGGACCAAUGAAGUCACCAAGACCCCUUCAUUGAAGUAGUCUGGGUGCAGGAGUCCUGUAUGUUUAAUCCUUCAAAGUAAAAUAUUGCCAUUGUGCAGGGAGGGCAAUAUUUACCUUGAAGGGUUAAACACACCACUUGUGUCAUACUUUUAGCCACUUGGGUCACUUUUACAGCGCUGACUGAAUAAUAAUAAUAAUAAUAAUUAAGUUGGCGACAUGACGUUGCAGGUCUCAGUUUAAUAUUUUGGAUAAGCCUUUCAGAUGAUUUAAUAUUUUUCGAUUAACUUUAAAAAUGCUGUGUGUGCUGUUUCAUUCAUAUAAAGCACAAUUCACACAUGCAUAGUACAGCCAAAAGAAAAAAAGAUAUCCAGGACAAAAUGUCCAGGAUACACAGGUAGGAUAUAUCAGAGUGGACUGUUUGUAAUAAAAACCAUACAUUUAUUAAUCAUCAUAAACAUAAACAAAAAAUAAAUAAAAAAACACACACACAUAACCCCAUAAAGAGGAAAAAAUAAAGCUCAAAGGGCUAGGAAGGGAAAACCAAAUAGAGGGGCAAUACCAGAGGUUAAUUACUCCUAUAUGGCAUAUGUACCACAUAAGAAAGAUAUCUAUAAAGCCUAUAAUAUCUACUAAGUGGAUCUCCCUAAUGUACAAUCCAUCAGUGGUAGAGUCCUAAAAGGAAUAAUAUAUAGACUAUAAAGGCAUAGGCUAGAUCUAUAAAUCCUCUGGUCCCAAAUGUUGCAAAACUCAAGGAUUAGCAGAACUAUUGGUAAACAGUGAUAAACACAGAUAAACAGCUAUUAGGAAAAAAUUCCCCCUGCACUGUUGCACAUAUUAGCCAAAAACUAUCCACUGCUAAUCCUAUAUGUAAAGCUAUAAGGUCAUAGAGAAGGUUAAGUCCCUUACUAAGCUGUGUUUAAUAACGGCUUAAGUUCCCCAUAAAAUAAACAAAUAAAUAAACACCCCAAGAAAGUGCUGAAAAUAAAGGUGAUGUGAAUUUAAAAAAUCAUCAUAAUGAGCCUAACGCGUUUCGGCGCUUAAACGAGCGCCUUUCUCAAAGGCUAUCAAUGAGGAGACUGACCUCAGUGUGUCUUUAUACCUAGAACAUUGUAAUGGAGAGCCAAUCCGCUGGGCAGUAGGCGGCGUUUCUUUUUCACGCCCCCCAGAUCGGAGUGGAUAAUACCUUCUAUCAAUCAUCCGAUAAUAGACCAAUCGGGUUAAAAUGGACGGGGCUUAAUGCCGAUAACGCAAAUCAAGUGUUUAUUAUGUUGCCAUAGACACCCUCUCACAUCAUACAUACAUAGGGUCAUGUCAUAGGCAACAGAGCCUAAUAGCUCAAAUAACACUGACCAUAGCAAACAUAUUGAUGUAAUAGGCACAAUGUCUCCAUUAACACAAAACAACUUUUGAUAGAGACAUAAAGAUAAAACGUAUUUUUUCUUUACAUUCCCCCAGUGUUGGAUAAUAUAUGGUACUAUGUAUUGUAAUAAAGUUCAACAGCCUUAUAAGUUACAGUGAACCAUAAAUAACCACCGACAGGAGUGAAUAUAACAUGUCUUAACUAAAUUAAAGAAUGCCAAGUACAGUGUCUUGAGGCAGGUAAGUUUAAAAACACAGUAUUAACUUGCUAUAUCAUCUUGUAUAUAGAUAGAUAGAAGGGGAUAAGGAGAUAAUAGAAUUUAUAUACAGCAAUAUCGAACGUCAUCUCUUAGAUUAAUCAGACUAACGUGGACUAUGGGUAUAUAGACUGGCCCAGUAAUACAAUGUGACGGAAUAUUAUCCUCAGUGGUCCAUGGUUAUGAUGUAAUUACUAGAACGGUAUGAAUAGUAACACUUAAACUAAUAUAUACUCAUUGAGAUAUGGGCAAAGAUUCAAUAAAGGGGGUAAACGUGAAGCCUUCAUUGAGGCCGUUUGGAGACAAAGUGUCCAGCUUGUGAAUCCAGAAGCAUUCUCUUCUUUUCAGGAUCAAAUCCAGAUCGCCUCCCCUUUUACCCAUCUGUACCUUUUCAACACCGACAAAUUUAAAGCAUCUAGGUGAGUCGCUAUGAUGUAAUCUAGCGUGUCUAGCAACAGGGGUGUCUCUUUCAGAUGUAACUGAAUGGAUAUGUUCCAUCAUGCGUCUUUUUUUCCGCAUUUACAAGUGAGAAGGUAGACAACCCCUGUAGAAUUACAGUUAAAAAACUGCUUGAUUGGGAUCCUCAACGUACCAGAGGAGUCUGUUAUAAACUUAGAAUCUCUAUCUAUGUAGCGACAGGCUACAUACACCGCCCACACUGAUAGGUACCUUGCACAUUAAUCCAACUCUUUUUAUUCGUAUUAGGUUUAGAAAAAUGGCUUGGCACCAGAAGAUCCUUUAGUGCCACAGGCACUUGUAAACGGCUUUUUUAUUUAGUUAAAGGAACACUAUAGGGUCAGAAACACUAACAUAUAUUCCUGACCCUGUAGUGUUAAAAUCACCAUCAAGCACCCUGGCCUCCACUUGCCGCUCUAAAUAGAGUAAAAGCUUACUUUUAUUCAAGUCUGCAGCUGCUGCCUCUGCCUCUGAAUUUGUGCGACAGUAGCGUUCAUCAUCAACGCACAGAACUUGCUUGAGAGCAAAGCAUAGCUUUUGCACUUGUAGGUGCUCUACUAUGCGUGCACUUUGCUGCCCGUGCUGUGUGCAAAGGGGAUGGGGGAUUCAGUUUAAUUGCAAAUUUCAGAUCUACGGCUAAUGCAAAGUAAGAAUUUUACUUUAGAAGAAUUUUUAGAUGCAUUAUAUAUGCAUUCGCAUUUCUAAACAUAGAAUGUUCCUUCAAAACACUUAUCCAAAGACAAAAGAUUACCCAUGGUACCCCAAAGAGUGAUCCCUGUGAUCUGUGAGCCUGCCGUGACGAGGAGUCCGUACUUGAUGGCCAGGAAAAAAAAGCCUGGAUAAUUCCAGGAAAGUCCUUAUAAAGAUGUGACAUUUAUACUAUCGUAUGAGCUGUGACGUGUAGGAGUUACUUUAUUUGUAUAUGAAAUAUGUGGCAGAUGGAGGAAAGCCAUAGUUCAUGAAAAGAAUAUAGAGAACCUUUUAGGGUGUAUUUAAUAACGAGGACAGAAUAGUGGAAGACUUUGCACUAUAUGGGCUUUGCAGAUUGGACCAAUAAAAAAGGAAAGAUGUGGGUAAAAAAGAUCUGAUGAUUUUCCCUAUAUAUUUUUUAUUUUUGACAUCUGGAUGAUAUUUUUUAUUAUUUUAUUAUUUUUGUCAUGCAUAGAAAGGUAACAGCAUUCGCGAGGUACCCCAACGGCAUUCCUCGCAUUAAUUUUCAAUAAUAGUAACAGUGGAGUUAUCGAUAUUGCAUGCACAUUUUCUUUUGUUGUCGAUUGCACAGGCUAAACAUUUCGUAACUGAAUAAGCAAAUGGCUGCGAGUUACUAUGCUAAGACAUGAGUGCUGCAGUAUUACAUGAACAAGUAAUACAAUGUAUUUGGAAUAGCUUGCAGGUAGAACUAUGAAAAUAGGUAUAUUAUAUGUGUAACUAUAUUUGUUCUAGAUUACUUAAAGAGUUGGCUUAUAAUUCCCUCAUAUUCCCUAUGCAGAUAAUUGCCCUACGGUGCUUAUAAAACUACUUAGCUGGGAGUGCACUGAGAAAAUGAUAAGCUGUGAGUUCGGAAAGCUUGUUCAGGCGAGUGUCUAAGGGUUCGUAGGUGUUGCGUUGGGACUCAAGUGCCGCAUAGCCCUUGGUGAGCUGCGUGUCCGCCAUUUUAAGAUAUCUGGCGGCCUGCCGGUUUGGUACAUAGUUUAGGCUGUCGCCGUCGCUUGUUGUCCAUGUAGACUCAUGGGUUACGAUGAUUGGGACCGGGAUAACCCCCGCUGGUCCUAAGGGGGAGGGGAAGCCCAAUACUUCGGGUGCCACAUGCUUUGAGGAGCUGGGAGAGCGGCCGCCUCUACCCUGCUCUGCAUGGUGUAGGCCCCAAGCAUCCGAUCCGAUGACCCAGCGGGCAUUCCGGGUGUGUGAGGUGUCUUUCUGUUCCCCAGCUUUUGUGUCGCAGGGUGAGGUGAGUUGGGAUUCAGGAUCAGGUGGUUUUCCUAAGUUUUUUCGCUUAAAAUCGGGUCCAGGCUCGGGAGCUCACAGAUCGUGUGUCUGUUCAGCUCCCCGGUAAGGCUCCGCCCCCCCUUCCCUAUAUUUUUAGUAUAAAAAAAACCCUUUUCAAUAAACACGUAUUAUCCCCCCACAUCCCGAUAGUUCUAACUGUACACAGUGAGAAAGGCAUACUAUUUUAUCUCAAGAUUUUUAAUAUGCGUGAAAGUUGUCCAGGUGCCUGAAGUGACCCUUUAAUUCCCUUCUCUCAAUCUGUGUAUUUUACUUAAUUGCUUUGUGAAAGGCUAAUAUUUUUAUUUUUUUGUAAUUCUUUGUUUUAUUGAGGAUGAAGCAGGUUAUUACAGGGUUUGCAUUGAAUGUUUAAAUGUUACCAUAGGUGCUAUAACAGGUAUGACACAUGACAUUCAUAUACAUCUGUCCUCUUUUUUUUUUUUAAUUAAGACAUGUUUGGGUCAACUAGGGAGGAGUAUAACAUGUGUUGGGGGUCCAGCUGCGCUCCUGUGUCAGGGUGUGUACGUUGUGUUUGUUGCUUGUUUGUUGUGGCAGUCUCCCAGGCAUAGUGUGCGUUUAGUUUUAGGGUUGUGAUUGUGUCCCAUGGUAUAAUCUCCUGGGGAGGUCGACCUAGAGGUGGGUAGGCCAGUAUUGGUGUCUGGUUGCCCUGUCUGUGAGUGCUCUGGUGUCUGUGGUUGGACCCGUGUUGUGAGGUUCGUCCUCUCGGUUCAGGCGGUGUGAGUGUCGGUGAGUCAUAUUGGGUACUGUAUUGUUGGGCCAUGUAUGUGUGCUGUCGCUCAGAGUGUAGGGGUGCCAAUGACGACACUCAGUGUGACAUGGGUGUGUGUGGCUAGUGGUCAUAGGAUGUCGUCCCCUAACCUAGGGGGACACCGGGGGAGGGAGGGUGAGGGUACUAUGGGUUGUGAGAGUCUGUCUCUCGGCCUCAGCAGGUGAUAGAGCCUGCAUUAGGUGUUGAGGAGCCCGUUAGGGUGGCUAAAAAGUUCGGUCUGGUAAGGUCCGAUAUCCGUCAUGUAGUUGCAGCAUUGGGGGGAACUAGUGUGGGGUUCACUAUAAACUUGGGUAAAACAUAGUGGAACAAAACAUAAUUCUUGUGUGAGAGCUGGUCAUCUCAAGUUGGUGCCCCUCUAUCUUCCCGUCUUCUGGGGGUGAAUGGCGUUAUUCUGUCCGGAUCCCAAGUGUGUGGGGUGGAAGGGUUCUCCGCGUUCGCGGGUCUCGUGUGUAGCCCAAUGGCUUGCAAAAAUGAGUCCGACUCGUUAAGUGAGGAGAGUCUAUGGGUGGUGCCCCCCUUGGUUACUAUCAGGGCUCUUGGUAGUGUCCAUCUAUAUUCGAUGUCUGCUUCUUGUAGUCUCCUUGUCACUGGGCCUAGGGACCGGCGCCAUAGGAGUGUGUUCCGCGUGAGAUCUUGGUAGAAUGAGAGGUAUGAGUCCUCAAAGGGGAGCGGGGUCUUCCCCCUUACCGCAGCCAUAAGUCGGGCUUUAUCGGUCAGAGAUUGACAGCGGAUGAUGACGUCCUGGGAGGCCGUUUGCGGGGCCUGUCUGGGUUUCUUGAUUCGGAAGAAUCCGUCAAGUGCUACCUUUUUUGCCUGAGCGGGUGGUAAGAGCGUGCUGAAGAGGCGCCUAAGGUAAUGGGCCAGUUCAGUCGCGUCGACUGAGUCAGGGAUCCCCCUGAUUUUGAUAUUGGCGCGCCUGUGGCGGUCUUCUGCCUGAUCUACUCUGGUGGUUAUGGUAGUUUGGGAGGUUUGUAGGUGUUGGACCAUUUCUUUUAGGCUUUGUACCUCUUUCCGGAGAUCUUGUAUAUCUUCCUCUGAGGCCUGUGUGCGUGCGGUCACCGCUUGUACCUCUGUUUUGAUCAGGUCCAUAUCUGCAGCGUGCAUCUGCCGCAUUUCUUGGAGCAAGUCUGCAAUAUCUUGCUUAGUGGCUGGGUUUAGGUUUUCCCUCCUCUCUACUGUGGGGUAGUGUGGCUGUUGGGGUUCUGUCAUCUCUUCGGACCGCUCCUCUGGGUCUUCCAGGUUGCUGACACCAUCAGGUGGGUUCGCCAUUUUGGAGGCCGUUGGGCGCUGCAGCAUGGUGCUGAUAUCUAGGGAGUCCCUGUUAGCUCCCUGUGGGGGUUUCUGUGUCCUUCAGGCCCAUGUUGCUUGAUUCCCGGUGAGGGGUUUCCCCGUGGGUCAGCAGCGGGCUGGAUAAGGCAGCCGUCAGUGCCAGUAGGUCUGGUGCAGGCCUUGCCGUGCGGUAUUCCUGGUAGGCCCCCGAUCUCCGCCGGGUUUUUCUGCCCGUUUGCGGGAACAGAAAGGGCAUCUGUGUCCGGCUCACCUCCCUGGGGUGUGAAGGGUAGGUGUUGUCGGCGGGUAGGGUUCCGUGGGGCUGUGGGUGGUAGCGGGUAGUAUCCUCAGCCACGGGAGCACAUGAGAGUUGCUGCCAUUCAGUACGGACGCUUGGCUCCGCCCCCGUGAAAGGCUAAUAUAACAUCAGAAGGGAAUUGUGUAUUUAGCAAGAUUCAUAUGCGUACGUGGGCCUACAUAGAGGUUAGAGAAAGGGAACACACUAAGCACCUGUUCUGCGAUGAAGUGGCUAUGGUGCCAGGAGUGCCCUGGCAUCCCUAUUGUGUUAAUAGUCAUAGUAAGUACGCAGUCAGUUUACCUGGGAUCCAAUGGGCACUGCAACCUGACUUCUCUCUGCAGCCAGGAGAGCUGUAAGCUUGUUCAGUGCAGGGCUAGUUCAUUGGCUGAGAGAGUCAGCUGAUCACUGCAUCAUAAUCCUGCCUCUUUAGCUGUGUCUCCUAUUCCAGAAAUAGACUUCCUGUACAGUGUACAUACAUAGCUCAGCCCUAGAUAUCACUGAGUGAGCUCUAAGCCAGCUUGCAUUAGAAGGUGAGGACACCCUCAUUGUAAGGAUAGACUCAUAGUAAGGAUAUCACUACCACCAGAGAAACAACAGACCAAGUUGGGUGUCCUCUUUUAAUGCAGGCUUUUUGCUUCUAGUUUACUCAGUGCUACGAGUAGCUGAGCUGCUUACCUGAAUUAAUAAGGACGUAUUUUUAUGGAAUGAUGGUGCUUGACUAUCUCCCGAAAGCUUGUCAUUAAAAAAUUCUAUUAGUCCAAUAAAAAAGGUAUUACAAGAUACAAAUUAUAUCUGUUUUUUACAUCUACAUCACUGGACUAAUACUGCUACAAUCUCUACUUGGACAUAAAAAGAUAUAGACAUAUAAUUAUGUAGUCUGUUAAAGGGACACUAUAGUCACCAGAACAACUACAGCUUAUUGCAUUUGUUCUGGUGAGUAGAAUCAUUACCUCAGGCUUUUUGCUGUAAACACUGUCUUUUCAGAGAAAAUGCAUUGUUUACAUUACAGCCUAGUGAUAACUUCACUGGCCACUCCUCAGAUCCUUCCUGGGUCAUGGCUGCCUAAAAUGCAUCCAAACAUUCAGUAUUUCCUCCCUCUGCAUGCAGACACUGAACUUUUCUCAUAUAGAUUCAUUGAUUCAAUUAAUUUCUAUGAGGAGAUGCUGAUUGGCCAGGGCUGUGUUUGAAUUGUGCUGGCUCUGCCUCUGAUCUGCCUCCUUGUCAGUCUCAGCCAAUCCUAUGGGGAAGCACUGUGAUUGUACACAGUGAGAAAGGCAUGCUAUUUUAUCUCAAAAUUUUUAAUAUGCGUGAAAGUUGUCCAGGUGCCUGAAGUGACCCUUUAAUUCCCUUCUCUCGAUCUGUGUAUUUUACCUAAUUGCUUUGUGAAAGGCUAAUAUAACAUCACAAGGGAAUUGUGUAUUUAGCGAGAUUCAUAUGCGUACGUGGGCCUACAUAGAGGUUAGAGAAAGGGAACACACUAAGCACCUGUUCUGCGAUGAAGUGGCUAUGGUGCCAGGAUUGCCAUGGCAUUCCUAUUGUGUUAGUAGUCAGAGUAAGUGCCCAGACAGUUUACUUGGGAUCCAAUGGGCACCGCAACCUGACUUCUCUCUGCAGCCAGGAGAGCUGUAAGCUUGUUCAGUGCAGGGCUAGUUCAUUGGCUGAGAGAGUCAGCUGAUCACUGCACCAUAAUCCUGCAGUGAUGAUGUCAGAGGAAGUUCCCAGGCAGAGGCAGCAGCUUUAGACUUGAAUAGGAGUAAGAUUUUACUAUCUUUAGGGAGGCAAAUGCUCCUAGAUAUUGGUUUUAACACUAUAGGGUCAGGAAUACAUGUUUGUGUUCCUGACCCUAUAGUGCUCCUUUAACCUCUUAAAGGACCACUCUAGGCACCCAGACCACUUCAGCUUAAUGAAGUGGUCUGGGUGCCAGGUCCUUCUAGGGUUAACCCAUUUUUUUAUAAACAUAGCAGUUUCAGAGAAACUGCUAUGUUUAUUAAUGGGUUAAGCCUUCCCCCUAAUCCUCUAGUGGCUGUCUCAUUGACAGCCAUUAGAGGCGCUUGCGUGCUUCUCACUGUGAUUUUCACAGUGAGAGCACGCAAGCGUCCAUAGGAAAGCAUUGUAAAUGCUUUCCUAUGCGACGGGCUGAAUGCGCGCGCAGCUCUUGCCGCGCGUGCGCAUUCAGCCCAGGAGGAGGAUCGGAGGCAGAUAGCUCUCCGCCCAGCGCUGGAAAAAGGUAAGUUUUUAACCCUUUCCCCUUUCCAGAGCCGGGCGGGAGGGGGACCCUGAGGGUGGGGGCACCCUCAGGGCACUAUAGUGCCAGGAAAACGAGUAUGUUUUCCUGGCACUAUAGUGGUCCUUUAAGGACUGAGGUAAUUGUCCAAAUUCUGAACCAAAACAAAACCUAGAACUUGCGCUUUGUGUUUGUUUCCCAGUAAUUUAAGGGUGCUGUCAUAUAUAUAUACAUAUUUAAAGAAAAUGAAGGACUUUCAUUUAAUAUCCUAUAUGUAUACCUAAUUCAACCCUACACGUGACUAAAAUGUUAAAAAUGGGAAAAUGUGGCAAAAAAAAUAAUUAUUUCACAUGUUUACCCAUAAUAUUUUUUACACAUUCAGUGCAACUAAAUAAAAAUAACUCAGAAUAGAUUCAUGUAUCAGUCCUGAUUGUGUAAUGUCUAAUAUGUCUAGGAUCUAAAUACAUUUUUGGUAGAUAACGCUAAUCCUAUAUCAACCCUUACACAAAUGCUAUACCAGCCAUGCCGCUUACCCAAUGUUUACGCUAAGUCUAACCAUAGACCUACCCCAAUAUUAACCUUAACCCUUUAUCUCUAGUCACUAUCUGAUUGAAUCUUUGUAGGACUGACAUCCUGCGUCUACACCAGUGAUGGCUAACCUUGACACCAUAAAUUAUUUCUGGACUACAUUUUCCAUGAUGUUCAGCUAGCCUUUAGAGUAUAAAAGCUAGAUGAGCAUCAUGGGAAAUGUAGUCCAGAAACAAGUUAUGAUGUCAAGGUUAGCCAUCACUGGUCUUUCUACACGCUCUGCUGAUUGGUGCAGGGUGGCGAUUGCUGCAAUUGCACACUGCCCUCCACCCCAGUGCUUCGCUAUGGGGAAGCAUUGGAAGGACUGAGAUCAUCUGUAAUUAAUUUCUCAGUCAGGGGGAGCGGAAGCAGGAGCUGGACUGGCACUCUGUGGGACUUAAGGUGAGCUAAACUAUUUAUCUUGUUAAGGGGUACCCACAAAUCUAAAUAUAGAGGAAAACACUCAGGCAUUCGGAAUACAUGUUUAUAUUCCUAAUGUUCAAGUGCUGUUUUAAUUGCAUGCCCCUCUGACUUGUUUUAUAAAUAGGAAAUUUCAAGUAAUACCCAAGCAGACUGCUGGGAUGGUCUUCGGUCUCACUCACUUUAAAAUGUCGUUUAUAGUGGCGUGCCUCUCACAGAGUUUGCUGUGCAUGCGCAAUUUUCCAAUGCAUCUCUAUGAGAAGCAUUUGAUUGCAACAGUAUUGAUGACUUUACGGAAGGUAUAUCUAGAAACUUUAAGGAACACUCCAAUUAAAAAUAUAUAUAUCAUUAUAUUUUUUUAAAGUGCACCUUUAAAUUGUCUCUAUCACUUUUGAGUUUUGUCUAUAUUUUGUUUAAAGGAACACUCAAGUCUCCUAAAUUACUUUAGCUAAAUAAAGCAGUUUUAGUGCAUAGAUCAUUCCCCUGCAAUUUCACUGCUCAAUUCACUGUCAUUUAGGAGUUAAAUCACUUUGUUUCUGUUUAUGCAGCCCUAGCCACACCUCCCCUGGCUAUGAUUGACAGAGCCUGCAUGAAAAAAAAACUGGUUUCACUUUCAAACAGAUGUAAUUUACCUUAAAUAAUUGUAUCUCAAUCUCUAAAUUGAACUUUAAUCAUAUACAGGAGGCUCCUGCAGGGUCUAGCAAGCUGUUAACAUAGCAGGGGAUAAGAAAAUCUUAAUUAAACAGAACUUCUCUUUACAGGAAGUGUUUAUGCAAGGCUGUGCAAGUCACAUGCAGGGAGGUGUGACUAGGGUUCAUAAACAAAGUGAUAUAACUCAUAAAUGGCAGAGGAUUGAGCAUUGAGGCUGCAGGGGCAUAUUCUAUACACCAAAACUGCUUCAUUAAGCUAAAGUUGUACAGGUGACUAUAGUGUCCCUUUAAUGUAAAUACUGCCUUUUCAGAGAGAAAGCAAUGUGUACAUUACUGCCUAGUAACACCUCUACUGGCAGUCACUCAGACGGCCACUAGAGGAGCUUCCUGUGUGUCCAACACUGAAGUUUUAGCGCCUUCACACUCUGCUUGGAGGUGCUGAACUUUCCCAUUAGAGAUGCAUUGAUUCAAUGCAUGUCUAUGAGGAGGUGCUGAUUGAUGCACAGCGGUGUUUUGCCGCGUAUGCACAAUAGCCUCCUAUGGGAAAGCAUUGGAUUGGCUGAGAUAAUCAAGUUUGAUGAUUCUCAGCCAAGGGGCGGGGCCAGUCAUGAUUGGAACCUAUGCGGCCCUGAAAGUAUGGUGAGUAAAUCGCCUUUUUAACCAGAGGUAAACAGCUAUUUAGACCCAUAGUGUCAGGUAUAUACAUUUGUAUUCCUGACAAUAUAAGAAAUACCCGUAUUUAAACUUCUCCGGGGGAAAUGCACACUGAGCGAGCACAUUUGGAGAGUCUAUGCAAAAUAUGCAGAAAUCCAGAAAGCUACAGAUCCACUUAAUAUUCUGCAUGACAUCUUUGAAAUUUGCAUAAAUAGUUCUGACUGAUUUAUGUCACUGUAAAAAUGUAAUGAUUUUUCAAAAACAUUUUUAUUUGACCUCCUUGGGCGUGUAAGGGAUGACAGAGAGUAUUUAAAAUGUGUUUUGUGUUUCCUCCUCCUUGUAAGUAAAGCCUAACUUGUAAUGUAUUUCCUGUUGUUUGUCUUAUUUGUCCCUCUGGGUUUUUCUGGAGCGUUUUAUUUUUAUAUAUUUUUUUAUGACUUUGUUGGACAGCUUGUUGUGACAUGUUUUCACACUUACUUGGUUUUGACACUAACGUCUUAUUUUGAAGGAAUUUGCUACAGGUGUAGCCUGUUUUACGGUGGAGAUAAGGUGCUGUCUAGAGAAGGGGGGCUGUUCGUGUUUGUUAGUUGAGUAUAGAUGACCUUGAUGAAGCCAUGUUCAGUGAGUGAGAUGGUUGUGUCUGAAAGAACCAGUCUGUUUGUGAUGUGAAUCUGUUGAGUGUGCAUGGAAAGGUUUCAAACUUGGUGCUUGCUGCUCUAACAUAUUAAGAUAACAGAAUGUUCCAAGAGAGGCGCUAGUUGAAGGUACAGUAUAUUUUGGUAUUCUACAUAAUUCUAAUAAUAUUCACAUAUUCCAAGACCGCAGCAAAGCCCAUAGCUAUCUGUACAUUUGUUUUUUUAGAAAGAAAAAUGUUUUGUUCAGACAAAAAAAAAAAGUUUUGUUUUAAAGGAUUAAUAAAGCCACCUAAGCCAACUUAUCUUAAUGUAGUGGCCCUAAUCCUGUGGUCCUGUAGGUUGAAACUUGNNNNNNNNNNNNNNNNNNNNNNNNNNNNNNNNNNNNNNNNNNNNNNNNNNNNNNNNNNNNNNNNNNNNNNNNNNNNNNNNNNNNNNNNNNNNNNNNNNNNCUGUGUAAAAACACUGCAGCUUUUUAGAAACUGCAGUGUUAACAUUGCAGAGUUAAAUCCUCUUGCUUUCUUUUGCAGUAACUGAGUAAAACUCGGUCACGUUACUGUAGCUUCCAUAGGAAAGCAUUGAUUGAAUAUAUAUAUAUAUACCGGUAUAUAAAUAUGAUAUUUGAUGUGCGUGUCGCACUCACCGUAUGAGGAGCAAUGAAAGGGACUGACUCUGGAGAACUUGGAUCAAUGGAAUUAAUUUAUCAAACAUUUAAAUGCUGCAUGAACAUUCAGCCUCAUGCUAUAUAACUGGUCAUUACUUGAUGCUGAAUAACAAUUUGGACUGUAAUGUAUCUCGAAUAGAAAGUUAUCAGAUUUAAAUAAAAAGAAAAUUAUCCAUAUUUAUUACAAUUUCUAUCUUCCCCAAUUGCUGUUAUUUUUGCAAUAUUGGCACCAGCCAGACAGUCAGAAACACCAUCUGUGCAAGUUAUAUAUCGGCCAGGCAGCACUCCUACUUUAAAGGGACACUAAAGUCACAAGAACAACUACAGCUUAUUGUAUUUGUUCUGGUGAGUAUAAUCAUUUCCUCCAGGCUUUUUGGAGUAAACAGUUUUUUUUUCAGAGAAAAUGCAGUGUUUACAUUACAGCCUAGGGAUACCGCCAUUGGCCACUCAUCAGAAGGCUGGUAGAGGUGUUUCCUGGUGCUGUGCAGCACACUGUGCAGUACUGCCAUUCAGUGUCUCCACCCUCUGCAUGGAGACACUAAACUUUCCUCAUAGAGAUGCAUUGAUUCAAUGCAUCUCUAUGAGGAGAUGCUGAUUGGCCAGGGCUGUGUAUGACUGGCUCUGCCCUUGAUCUGCCUCUUUGACAGUCUCCACCAAUCCUUUGGGAAAGCAUUGUGAUUGGCUCAGAGAAUCACUUCUGAUAAUGUCAGCCAAGAAAGCAGAUCAGGGGAAUGGUAGCAGCAGCAGACUUAACUAAAAGUAAGAUAUGACUAUGUUUAGGGGGAAAGGGAGGAGCCAGGUGGGCUAGAUGGUGGUUUUAACAUUAUAGGGUCAGAAAUACAUGUUUGUGCUCCUGACCAUAAAAUGUUCCUUUAAUGGAAGUUGAAAAUAAAGAGACACCAAUAAGGCUUAAAUUCCUGAAAAAUGUGUGGAGUACUUACUUGAUUCGCUGUGAAGACAAAUUAAAAGCUGUUACAAAAUGCACGGUUCAAUUUCGACUUCAGAAAUGUGAAGUCUUAUUGUAAAGGUACUAUUUCUGCAGGACUCUCUAAUAAUGGCUCUGUCACCUCAAAUAUGCUUUCUUAUUCUUUUCUGAUCUAUUUAUCUUUAAAACAUAAGACAAAGUAGGGUCUACUUUGAUGAUUUUUCCUACACUUGACAAUCUUGACAAACGGUGGCACUCGUACUGCAAAACAUUUGUUUCAUUUUGUGGGAAAAGAUUUGAGCAUGCAAAAAAAAAAAUAAAAGAUUAAAAUAAAAUACAGCAUAUUAAUGAGGCUAAAAUCAAUCAACUGCGUGAAAGUUAUAUUUGUUUCCACAGUGUCAUUUUAUGGCAAGCUUCACCCUUUGUUAGCUUGACAAAGGAAGUGGAGUUUGCCUUAAACACCACUUUCAUCGAGAUUUGUCAGGCGUAGGAAAAAUACAUUAGACAAAGUCUGUCUUAUGUUUUAAAGAGAAAAAGAUGAGAAAUGUCAGAAAUUAACAGAUUCCAAAAGAGUAGAGGAAAUAAUAAAAGAAAGCUACGUUUGAGGUGACACGGUCACUUUAAAACCCCUUGGUGUAGCUUCAUGCCACUUGUUAGUGUGUAGCUCAAAAAGAUGCUCAUUCAGAAGUUUGUAUGUUUAUAUUGUUGUUAUCCCAAUGUGUUAACUAGCUUCAUAGUGUCACAGCCGAGAGUGUUUAAUUCCUUAUCUGAUUAUAUCACCAGGAUCCCUUUGUUUAUAUUUUUAUGCUGUGAGCAAUACUUACUUUCUCACGCUCUGGAUGUGAGCAGGUUUGUACUGUUACGGUGUUCUGUCAGUGUGAGACUAUGAGGGAACACCUAGAGAGAGAUGUAUUGAAUGGGAAUUUCUCAUGGACCCUCUUGUUGUCUUGCAUGAACAUUCACCACAUUCGCUAUAUCUUAGUUGGUAGCAUUAUAACCUGGAAUUAAAAUGCAUUUUAUUAGAAUUUAUACCUUUUGUUUUACACAAGAUAUACAGCACUUUGAAGGUUGAUUUAACUCAAAGUUAAUAAAAGAAAGCUUACAUUUAUACAUUGUAAAUGCAUUUAUCUGUGCUCCUAUGAAAACUCCGAAUAAGCCAUGGCCCAUCCAGAUGUAUUCAGAAGCCUCAUAAUUAAUGGAAUGUAAUUCACUCAGUGCAAGUAAUGUGUCUGAUCAUCUCAGAAUAAAAUUAUCUAUUUCUGUAAGCCCACAUAGUUUGUUAGAGAGAGUAUCAAACAGUAACCAACAGCAUCAUAAAGACUGAGAAGCUAUAAAACCUAAUUUGGGAUUCCAUUCUAGAGAAGCACCAAUCAGGUUUGAUUAAUAAAAAAAAAAUAUGCCAAACUUUGAACAUCAUCGUAGGCACUGUUAAAGCCAUAAUUAAAAAUAUAAAGGAAAUGGCACAAGAACUUGACUGCCUAAAGAACAUCAUCCACGAAAACUCAGUGAUUUGCUAAAAUCAGUAUUUAACAGAAAAGCAACCAUGAGGCCAGUACCAACUCUGAUAGAACUGGAGAGAUCAAGAGAUGAGAUGAAAAUAACUAGACCGCUAUAUCUCUGUCAGGUUAUACACUGAGCUGCUCAGUGUGAGUUAAAAAGGCAAUGUUUGUUCAACAAAAUACAAGGUACUAAUAGGGGCAAGGCAAAGACAUCAGUCCAGGCAGUACUGGGUCAUAUACGAGUAUACAAGCAGAAAGGUCAGGUAACAAAGCUACAAGCUUUAACACUGGUGUAGCAUCGAGGACAGCACAGUACAACUGAGCAAGGAGGACGGCCGACUGGCACAUACAUAGGGAGAAUGAGAGGCAUGUCCCCCCACAUCCCCCUAUGCCUUUAGAUAUGCCGAUAUUCUGCGUGUGCGCACAGCGUGUUGGACUGCAAGGAGGAUCGUCAGUUGCCCCCCACAGACGAGAGCCACAUUCGGGCCAGUUCACGUUGCUCUCGGUGCUCAGAAGACGCCUCAUGCAGCGGAGGGAGAGACGUGGUGAGGGAGUGCCAUAUAUGCAGUGGGAGCCUGACAAUCUGAGAUGUUCACAAAGCUGGACCUCAUAGACUUAUAACAAGAAGAAAACACUUUGUAAGACAAGUCAGAUCAAAUCACAUUUGGAGUUUUCCAAAAGGCAUGUGAAAAACAUGGCAAAACAUUGUAAACAGGUUUUCUACUCUGAACGUACUCGCCUUUGCUCAGAAUUCUAUUUGUGGGGCAAAGCCAACAGUAGUAAACUGGUCAUCACCCUCAAAACACUCUCCUCACUGUGACAAAAGGUGGGCGAAUCUUCAUGAUGUCAGAAUGAUUUUUAGUGCCAGGGACUGGGUAAACUAGUUUGGAUUGUGGGUAAAAUGGACAGUCAGAGAAAAGGCAAUUAGAGAGGACGGUCAUCUUCCAGCAGGGUAAUCACCCUUAGCACAUAGCAAAGUAAUUAACACUUUCAUAAUUUGCAGUGGCACAGUCGAAGUCCAGAUUUAAGUCAGAUUAUGAAUCUGUUUUUUUAAAAUACUGUUCACCAGCAGUCCCCAACCAGCCACAUAGAUCCUGAGCAUUUUAGUUGCAAAGUAUGGUCACAGCUCGCAAAGAUUUAUCCUAAAAUAUAGCUGUAAUUACUACCAAUAAUAAAAGGAUUCUAUAGUGCCAGGAAAACAAAGCCGUUUUCCUGGCACUAGAGGUUCCUACAGUGCCCACCUUCCACGGCGCUGAAGGGGUUAAAACCUCUUCAGUCACUUGCCUGAAUCCAUGUCCCUCAGCGCUUGGUUAGGUUCUGCCCACGCUCCUUCCCCACUGACGAAAUCAAUGCUUUCCUAUGGGGAUACCGGUGAUGCUGGAAGUCAUCAUGCAUAUUGUGAGGACGUCCAGCGUCAUUUAGAUGACCAAAAUUCGUCUAAGCACCUGGAAGUCCCUCUAGUGGCUGUAUGGAAGACAGGCACUAGAGGUGGAGUUAACCCUAGCAGGUAAUUAUUGCAGUUUCUCAGGGACUGCAAUAAUUACUACUGUUAGGUUAAGGGACAUGGGACAUUGCACCCAGACCUCUUCAAUGAGCUGAAGAGGUCUGGGUGCCUACAUUGUCCCUUUAACCCAGCGAGGGGAAUACUGUGCAACCAACAAAUGUCUGUUUUUUUUUCUGUUAUUUUUUUUUUUUUUUAUCAAUGACAAGAUUUAUCACGCCACUUUGUUAUGUAUGCUAUAAAACAGAGGGUUAAUAAUACACUAACAUCUAUUUUAAUUCCAGGUUGUAACUCUACAAAAUGUGAAAAUGUAUCCUUGGGGAUUUGUUCAAGACUUCCACUAGACACUGUAAAUCCUCGAUAGCUAAAGAUACUUAUUUUACAAAAUUAUUGCAAUGAUGUAAUUUUUAAGAUGUUAGUAGAAUUAAAACUGGACUUUGUGAAUUUUAAUCUGGCCACAAGACCGGGUUAUUCAUAAAGGUGUCAAUUAUCAGGAAAUCAUAUUGAAUUUGAAGUGAAUUUUAAAGGACCACUCUAGGCACCCAGACCACUUCAGCUUAAUGAAGUGGUCUGGGUGCCAGGUCCAGGUAGGGUUAACCCAUUUUUUCAUAAACAUAGCAGUUUCAGAGAAACUGCUAUGUUUAUGAAUGGGUUAAGCCUUCCCCCAUUCCCUCUAGUGGCUGUCUCAUUGACAGCCACUAGAGGCGCUUGCGUGCUUCUCACUGUGAUUUUCACAGUGAGAGCACGCCAGCGUCCAUAGGAAAGCAUUAUGAAUGCUUUCCUAUGUGACCGGCUGAAUGAGCGUGCAGCUCUUGCCGCGCGAGCGCAUUCAGCUCAGGAGGAGGAACGGAGGAGGAGAGCUCCCCACCCAGCGCUGGAAAAAGGUAAGAUUUAACCCUUUUCCCCCUUCCAGAGCCGGGCGGGAGGGGGACCCUGAGGGUGGGGGCACCCUCAGGGCACUAUAGUGCCAGGAAAACGAGUAUGUUUUCCUGGCACUAUAGUGGUCCUUUAAAUAUAAGGCCCAGGUAAAUGAGAGGGGAAAACAGCUAACUUGGAGAAUUUUUCCAGUUUGGCUAUUUCGCUCUUCAAUUUGAAAUUCACAUUUAUUCACUUUGAAUUCCCAACAGUUCACACUUUAGUUAGUAAACCUGGGAGGAUUAUUUCUUAGAAUGUUCAUCUAAUUAACUGAUAUCCCAGAUGAUUACUUAAAUUGCAUUCAUGCGUCUAGUUGCAGGUAUAGGGGGGUUAAUUCAUUAAAUCGUGAAAAGACAAGUUAAUUGCAAGUUUUAGUACAAAAUUGAAGAAUGAUCCAACGCAGCUCAGUUAUUUUGUCUAAAUAUUGCAGCUCUCAUGUCAAUUCUGCACAAUUCCUCACUUGUGAUUAAACUCCAUGGCAUUAUAAUGAACAUAUAAAUAAUUUCAGUGACUUUUUAUAAAAAUCAUAUUUUACCAUAAUUGUGUUUUUUCUUUUUUUGUUCAUGUUUCAGGCAUGGCGUACCCUGUUGAUAUAUUAGGUAGUUGCAGUCAUGAAGAACUGGAGAGCUUGUCAGAAGAAUAUCUCUCUGAUCUGCGAUGUUCUGAUCCCGACAAUCCAGAGUAUUUUUCUUUUCGGGACAAUACGGAG
rnacentral:lncRNA from 1 species